rnacentral:rRNA from 1 species
GGGUAUCGUAGUUCCCACUCCAACCCAUGUGAACUUAUCUCUUUGUUGCCUCGGCGCAAGCUACCCGGGACCUCGCGCCCCGGGGGGCCCGCCGGCGGACAAACCAAACUCUGUUAUCUUCGUUGAUUAUCUGAGUGUCUUAUUUAAUAAGUCAAAACUUUCAACAACGGAUCUCUUGGUUCUGGCAUCGAUGAAGAACGCAGCGAAAUGCGAUAAGUAAUGUGAAUUGCAGAAUUCAGUGAAUCAUCGAAUCUUUGAACGCACAUUGCGCCCAUUAGUAUUCUAGUGGGCAUGCCUGUUCGAGCGUCAUUUCAACCCCUAAGCACAGCUUAUUGUUGGGACUCUACGGCUUCGUAGUUCCCCAAAGACAUUGGCGGAGUGGCAGCAGUCCUCUGAGCGUAGUAAUUCUUUAUCUCGCUUUUGUUAGGCGCUGCCCCCCCGGCCGUAAAACCCCCAAUUUUUUCUGGUUGACCUCGGAUCAGGUAGGAAUACCCGCUGAACUUAAGCAUAUCAAUAAGCGGAGGA